ensembl:lncRNA
GUUGCUGUGUGUGUGUGUGUGUGUGUGUGUGUGUCAGCUGUUGAGGUCAGAUUGUGUGAGGAGGCGGGAUGAGGCUCAGUGUGUGUGUGAUCGCAGCCUGAUUAACACACACGGUCCUCAGCCUCCUCUUGAACACACACACACACUCCGUGACUUUUCGGCUCUCCAUCAUGGACCUGGACCCCGCCGUCAUCAUCCCCGCCAUCCUCUUCACCGUCGUUGCCAUUUAUUUCGCUACGUCGCUCCUCAGCAGGAAGCCCGACGCCUCCUCCUCGUCUGCCGGGAGCAAGAAGUCCAAACUCGGGUACAGAGACGACCUUCCUCCGCAAGGAGCUCUGGAAGAAGAGCCCGAAGCCUCCCUGCGACCAGAGCCCCCAGCUCCGGCUGUGGAGGACAUAGGAGCCGCCGAGAAGAUCCAGGCUGUCCCAGAACCACAACAUGUCCCUGAACCAGUGAAGAUACCAGAAGCUGAGCCAGAAGCAGCAGAAGAUCCAGAGGACAGAGAAGCAGUCACAGCACCAGAACCUGUGGCACAACCAAAAAAAGUGCCAGAGACAAGAGCAGAACGACCACCGGCGCCAGAAGCAGUCCCUGAACCAACAAAAGAGCCAAAGUCUGUUCCAGAACCAGUCACAGUAUCAGAACUUGUCUCUGAAGCUGUGUCAGGCCCAGAACCUGUUCUUGAACCAGAUGAAGCACAAGAAGCAGCACCAGUGUCUGAACCCAUACCAGGCUUGGUAUCAGGCCCAGAACAAGCUGCAGAACCUACCCCAGAGUCCAAACCUGUAGCAGAGCCCUUAUCAGAACCAGCCAGGUCCCCUGAACUCAUAUCUGAACCCAAAACUGUCCCAGAACCUGUUACUGAUCCAGAGCCUGUGCUCGUGUCUGAAGUGGCAGCCCAGAAGCCCGCGACUGAACCUGAAGAACUGCUUGAGCAGAUGCCCGGACCCAAUGAAGGUCUGACAGAACCAUCGCGUGAGCGGGAACCCGAACCAGAGACCGUCCUGGAUGACGAUGUGGCUGCAGCUGCUGAUGUGCUGAACUUCACCCCGGGAAUGAAACAGAGUAAGGUGGCGGUGCUGAUGACCCAGGAGGACAUGGAGGAGGAGCAGAGGAUAGAGCUCACGUCUGAUUUUACCUCUCUGUAAUCAGCCUCAGCAGACUCGUGCUAGUGUGCUAGGAAGGAGAUGGUAAGGAGAAUAUCCCCUCCCUAAACCCUCAGCCCUGCCCGUCCUUAAUCACCCCUAACGCUGCAGCACAGAUAGACUGACGCCAACAUUCACAGUGAGAAACAGAGCUGCAAACCGGUGGGACAAAUGCAGCCAGUUAGAUCAAAGUGUCCAGUAAGAAGCUGUAAACUGAUUAACGUCUCUCCUGCAGAGCCGACAGCAGCUGCAGGAGAGACGUCCCUCAUCUGAAGUCUGGGUUUCUUCAGAAGAACAAACAUGUUGAUAAAAGGAAUUAAAUGUGCUGGAGGAACAUAAUUAAAGAACAUCUGAAAUAACUGCAAUGAUUUGAUUAUUUGAUUCAAUCUGCAAAAUGACAAUAAAAUAAACUCUGAGAAUCAGCUUUCGUGGAACCACAGAAGCAGUCAUGUGAUUCGUUUCAGCUGCAACUUCAAAAGAAAACAGAAAAUGUUACUGGAAUUUAAAACGAGUUGAAGGCAUAUUAAAGCAGUGUGUGUAGCUAUGAUUUUCUUAUUUCUUUCAUUGUGACUGUGGAGUCUCCUCUGUGGGGAGGGUCUGUGUUUGUGUCUCCUGUGGACGUUCGGGUCCAACUCUUGGUUGGGUCCCUGCUGACGCUUCAUGUGGAGAACAUUUAAAACAUGUUUUUGUGUUUUCUGCCCACGAGUGGGCGUGUCCCAACUUUUAAUCGUUUCCUGUCUCUGCAGUGAGAUAUUCUGCAUGAGGUGCUGAUGACUGAUUAUUGAUCGGUCUAUCCCUACGGCUGAUGCUCCUCCCCGUUUCACGCUCAUUCCUCUGCUGUUGGUCACAUGGUCUGUCUUUACACCCAGCCCGCCGCUCCAGACAGCGGCUGCUUAUCCUCUUAUCAUUAUUGUCUUUCACCGUCUGUUAACAGGAAGCUCAGCCCUGCCCCUUUAACCUCCCAGCAUGCACCAGUGUACCGACUGAGUGUGACCCAGUGUGGACAAAAGGCAGCCGAUGUGGGUCACAUGUUCUCCGAGGGGAUAAGACGUCCAUACAGGAAACACAAAGGAGACGCUCUGCACCUCCAGCUGCAGCAGGAGCGCGCUCAGUGUUGAAAGGGCGGCUUCACGGGCUUUAAAUCUAAAAGAAAAGAGCGCCGGGGUCAUGUGACCACGCUGGGACUGACCUGAGUCUCCCGGGCUCCAGGGUUGGACGAGCUCUGGGAGCAUUUUCACAGAAGUGUGAUGGGAACUCUCUGAGUCAUGUGAAGAAUCCAGAUCUUAAGAUCAGGCUUCAUGCAGUCACAGCGUGAACACGUCCUCAGACUCCCCUUCAUGUGGUUCGGUGUGCGCUGCCUUCUUUACCUCAGACAGGUGAGAUGGUCCUCUUCAGUCCAACCGCUCACCUCAGACAGACUGCUUUCAUUAUCUCUGUUACUUCAGGGCUACUGCCUGUUUAUGGAGGCAGAGGUGUGUUCAUACUGAGAAUCAUUACAAUCAUUCGAUUUGGUUUUUAUUCCUGGGACUGUUUCAUAUUUCCUACCAACCCGUCUCUUUGUCCUGCAAGUAUCCGGUUGUCCCUGAUUCAGUCUCCAGCUUUCACACACACAUUUUCCUGACCUGCAUAAACUACUGGAACACUUUGUUGCAGAGGACACGGUAACUUGAUUUUACUGUUCAUCUCCCUCACAGACGAGUGGAGCUGCAAACUUUGAGUUCAUCUCCUGAAGCGCUCAAACAAAAAGGCCUGAGAGCAGACGCCCGUCACAGCUGCUGCCUCGUCCGGAGCAGUUUAAUUUCUGGGUGUGGACUUUGAUAUCACUGCUGCUGUGAUUCUAGCAGCGGGCUGCCAGACUUCAUAUCAGCCUCCUGCAGAAACUCGACUGUGCAGCAGACGUCAGAGCAGGGUUACAAUGAUUCAGACGGGAUUUUGGAGGCGCUUAAAGACAUUCAUAAAAAUAGAGGUUGAAUCACUUAAGCCAGCGGUCCCCAACCUUUUUUGCGCCACGGACCGGUUUAUGCCCGACAAUAUUUUCACGGACCGGCCUUUAAGGUGUCGCGGAUAAAUACAACAAAAUAAAACUAGUACCGGUACCGAAAAAAAGAAGAUUUACUCAUAACACACGUGAAAAGACCCAGGAAAACCGAGUUAACGAUAAAAACGAUAACAAAAUAACGCUGAAAACCGAUAAAAACCCUGAAAACCAUACAUUUCACACUUGAGCCUCAACUCUCGCGGCCCGGUACCAAACGACUCACGGACCGGUACCGGUCCGAGGCCCGGGGGUUGGGGACCACUGACUUAAGCCAAACAGUUCAGCGCAUUAUCCAAAGCACAGGAAACCGUGGCCCAUAAUUAAUGGUUGCUGUAAAACGAGCAGCGAGGACCUUCGUGUUUGUUGGAGAGUCCUUCGCCUGCGUCUGAGCGGCCGAGCUCAGUUUCUUUUUUGGACUUUUCCACUGCACGCAGCAUGGAGCUCACCAGCUCUCCUCUUUAAAAACUGAUCGCCGCUUCUUGUCCAUGAGCGCCCUCCUCUGGUCAAACACAGCACACAUUUAAAAGAACCAUAAUAAUACAUCUCAUUAAUAUAAUCAGCUGUCACACAGUCAAAGUCAGCCUGGACCAGGAGACUGUGGAGUUCCCCACCCCUGUCAUAUGGAGUAUUUUAUUACACGCCGACCGUGACGUUUCUAAACGUUUUAGUGGCACAUGUUCAGGUGCUGUUAAAAUAUAAGUUUUACUUUUUCUAUUUUUCCACCUAAAGCUCCACAUGUUCGAUGUCCUUCCUGUCGCGACCCCGCAGGGAUUCAUGUCCCCGGGGAUGAACCGCGGGUCAGUCGUGAAUGUGCAGCACUGUGGACUCUCAUGACUUUAAACCUCGCCAUCUUUAUUUUGACCUGUGGGUUAGAGGUGUGGGAACUGAACGACUGUCAUCAUCAACAUUUUUUCCUGUUGAAUUUUCUGUAUUUUGAUCCAGGUGAAUAAAUAAUUUCAGGGUGGAGGUGUGUUCUGUAGCUGGAGAAACACUUCUGCGAACUUUGCUUUGUCGAUGUAGCCUGAGGCAGCUGCUGUGUCGCUGUGGACCGGCUGCUGAUCAAGCGCUCGCCUCUGCUCGUUUAUUUCUGUCUUCGCUCUGGUCUCGUCACAUCUGUCAGCUUCUGUCCAGCUGUGCUGCUCGCCUGCUAACCCUGCAUGCUGCCUGCUAACGCUCAGCUAACGGUGAGUGCCGCCCUUUGCUUUACCUGUCAGGAGAGCCGUUGUUAACCAUGUUAGGCAACGUUUUCCAUGAGUCGAACUCUGUCUACGUUAACCUAACUGACUCUGGUUGCAUCUAACAGCUGGAGUCGCUCGUGAAGGACUUUCCACUGAAAUGUUAGCUUAGGCUUCCCAGUGACCGCUCGGCAACCUCCAGUCAAGGAAAAAUGUGUUGUCCCCGGCUGGAGGGUGACUGUUGCCUAGGUUACCUCAGUCCCAAAUCGGUGCUGCACCUAAAACCUGUGUGUGUUUUAUGUUCCCACUGGUAGCAGACCUCUGCAGUCUCCUGUAGUUUGCUCUGGAGAUGCAGACUGCAAACACCAACCAACCACAGACUGGAAACAGAACAUUUACUUUCAAAGUAAAAGCUGUAGCCAACACAUUUCAUGCAGCUUUUACUCUGAAGGUGAGCUCUGUCACAACAGCUCAGUGAGUCGUUGACGACUCGCUGCAAGUCAGCGACUUCUAUGCAAACUACGAGGCACCAAAGCAACCUCGAGGAGGUUUUCGGUGCAGCACCGUUUGCUCCUCUGCCCAAAAAACUUCAGCAUCUAUAAACCUGAAUAUUCGAGUAGAGUAAAUGUUGGCGUUAGCAUCUCUCAGAGCUGAGCUGAUCCGUGAGGAUGAGGAGCGCUGAAGAGAUGGAGAUCAGACCCUGCAGAAAGUCCUGCCUGCUUUCUUCUCUUGUUGUUGAGUUUUGAGGUUUGAGCUGCUUGUGAAAAGUAAACAUCUUCACACCAAAGUGCCUUCAGGAGUUUCUUUACUGUCUGCUUUUCGUGUCCAGCCUUUCUGAAGCAAACAAAUUAAUUAUGUGAGUGAAUGUUAAUGAAGUUAACCUCAGUAUAACCUAGUUCUCACUGCUGGUUUCAAAUGAAAAAAGACAAUUAGACGACAAGCUGCAAUAAAACGUUCCUGCUAGCUUCAGUGUUCAGUUGUGAUUUUAAAUGUUAACCAUGAAAUAAAAGUGUGAAACAUGUUGUUGAUUCUUUCUGAUCUUUGUUUUGUAAAUUCUGGAUUAUUAAAAAUACUUUUGCCCAUUCU